rnacentral:rRNA from 1 species
UACGUAGGGUGCAAGCGUUAAUCGGAAUUACUGGGCGUAAAGCGUGCGCAGGCGGUUGUGCAAGACAGAUGUGAAAUCCCCGGGCUUAACCUGGGAAUUGCAUUUGUGACUGCACGGCUAGAGUGUGUCAGAGGGGGGUAGAAUUCCACGUGUAGCAGUGAAAUGCGUAGAUAUGUGGAGGAAUACCGAUGGCGAAGGCAGCCCCCUGGGAUAACACUGACGCUGAGGCGCGAAAGCUAGGGGAGCGAACGGG